rnacentral:misc_RNA from 1 species
GGGGUGUGGUGUUUGAGAACUGGAUAGUGGUUGCGAGCAUCAAAAUGUAUGCGUUGUCGUUCGCGGCAACGUGUUCUUUUUGUGCAAUUUUAUUCUUUGGUUUU